GGCCACCCCUCACUGACCCUGGUUCUGUUGGAGGUUUCUUCGUUUUAAAAGUGUCAUGGCACUGGGUCUUUAACACAGUGCUCAUGUGUUUUUGAGUUUUGUUAAUAUUCCUUAAUUUAGUGUCAGUCAUGGUUUUAGUUCUCUCGAUUGUUUUCUGCUUGUGCUAUAUUUAAAGUUCUAGUCUUUAUGAAAACUGAAUUGAAUUAAAAGGUGAUGAUGUGAGGUUUAAUGUGUGAAUAAUGUGUGUUUGUUCUGGUGCUUCUGUUUGAACUAUAGGUAAACAUGAUUAAAAACUAUGAAAACAAAACGAGACAAAAUGCUUACAGUUUGAUUGAAGCAAACUGAUUAAUGGAAAAAUUAUCUGUAAAUUAUACCAAGGCCUUCAGAAACAAAAAGGUUAUAACACAAAGUCGAUUAAAACAGCUGAGGAUGAUUGGCAUUUUAAGUGGGCGACACAUACAUAGGCUUGUGUAUUUAUUUCCUCUAUUUGUCUUACUUCUUUGCCAUGUCCUCCCUCAUGAUGUUUAAAGAAAAUGAAAAGUUAAAAAAAAGAAAACAAAGGAGAAAAUUUCAGAUAAAAAAAAAGCAUUGUCACGGACAGUGUGGCAGACCGUGGGGGAUGUGGGAAGGAGGACCCAGGCGCGGAGCUCUGUGUGCAACAGUGCGUUUAUUUACAGUGUAUGGAAAAAACAACAAUAAAUCCCCGUGCUCUCCCCUGACUCCCGUGUCGCGUCCUCCGUGAAAAGUCCGUGUCUUAGUGCUCUCCGCUCCCGUGUCUCAGCACUCCCCGUGCUGGCUGCUGUCUGGUGCUCCACACCUCUUCUGGGGAAAACAAUAGAGGCAGGACACAAUACUAUAGCAGGCAUGCACUCAAGGACUAAACCGAAACUGUAUGACUAACGUGGAGUCUCAUGCAAUGGUCCAGCAUCAGUGAGCGCUCCAUCAGUCUCUUAAAUAGCUCCCCCGACGAGCCUGAUCAGCAGCAGGUGUGUGUGGGGCUUCAGGUGUGGCCAAUCCUCUAGCAGGACCACACCCAUCAGGCCUGCAGGUGCUUGACA
ensembl:lncRNA